rnacentral:rRNA from 1 species
AGGUAACGGCUCACCAAGGCUACGAUCAGUAGGGGUUCUGAGAGGAAGGUCCCCCACAUUGGAACUGAGACACGGUCCAAACUCCUACGGGAGGCAGCAGUGAGGAAUAUUGGUCAAUGGGCGCAAGCCUGAACCAGCCAAGUAGCGUGCAGGACGACGGCCCUAUGGGUUGUAAACUGCUUUUGUACGGGGAUAAAACGGCGGACGUGUCCGCCCUUGCAGGUACCGUACGAAUAAGGACCGGCUAAUUCCGUGCCAGCAGCCGCGGUAAUACGGAAGGUCCGGGCGUUAUCCGGAUUUAUUGGGUUUAAAGGGAGCGUAGGCCGGGGAUUAAGUGUGUUGUGAAAUGUAGACGCUCAACGUCUGACUUGCAGCGCAUACUGGUUCCCUUGAGUACGCACAACGUCGGCGGAAUUCGUCGUGUAGCGGUGAAAUGCUUAGAUAUGACGAAGAAACUCCGAUUGCGAAGGCAGCUGACGGGAGCGCAACUGACGCUUAAGCUCGAAGGUGCGGGUAUCGAACAGGAUUAGAUACCCUGGUAGUCCGCACGGUAAACGAUGGAUGCCCGCUGUUGGUACCUGGUAUCAGCGGCUAAGCGAAAGCAUUAAGCAUCCCACCUGGGGAGUACGCCGGCAACGGUGAAACUCAAAGGAAUUGACGGGGGCCCGCACAAGCGGAGGAACAUGUGGUUUAAUUCGAUGAUACGCGAGGAACCUUACCCGGGCUUGAAUUGCAGGAGAACGAUACAGAGAUGUUGAGGUCCUUCGGGACUCCUGUGAAGGUGCUGCAUGGUUGUCGUCAGCUCGUGCCGUGAGGUGUCGGCUUAAGUGCCAUAACGAGCGCAACCCCUCUCUUCAGUUGCCAUCAGGUAGUGCUGGGCACUCUGGAGACACUGCCACCGUAAGGUGUGAGGAAGGUGGGGAUGACGUCAAAUCAGCACGGCCCUUACAUCCGGGGCGACACACGUGUUACAAUGGCAGGGACA